rnacentral:misc_RNA from 1 species
GAUGAAGAACGCAGCGAAAUGCGAUACGUAAUGUGAAUUGCAGAAUUCAGUGAAUCAUCUAGUCUUUGAACGCACAUUGCGCCCCCUGGUAUUCCGGGGGGCAUGCCUGUCCGAGCGUCAUUGCUGCCCUCAAGCACGGCUUGUGUGUUGGGCCUCCGUCCUCCUCCCGGGGGACGGGCCCGAAAGGCAGCGGCGGCACCGCGUCCGGUCCUCGAGCGUAUGGGGCUUCGUCACCCGCUCUUGUAGGCCCGGCCGGCGCUUGCCGACACAUCAAUCUUUUUUCCAGGUUGACCUCGGAUCAGGUAGGGAUACCCGCUGAACUUAAGCAUAUCAAUAAGCGGAGGA